UACGGAGGGUGCUAGCGUUGUUCGGAAUUACUGGGCGUAAAGGGCGCGUAGGCGGAAUGGCAAGUCGGUCGUGAAAUCCUUCGGCUCAACCGAAGAACGUCGAUCGAAACUGCCGUUCUUGAGGAUUGCAGAGGAGACUGGAAUUCCCGGUGUAGCGGUGAAAUGUGUAGAGAUCGGGAGGAACACCGGUGGCGAAGGCGGGUCUCUGGGCAAUUCCUGACGCUGAGGCGCGAAAGCGUGGGGAGCAAACGGG
rnacentral:rRNA from 1 species